rnacentral:sRNA from 1 species
ACAUGUUAGAGUGUUACUUAAACACGUAGACGCUUUAACGCUUUAAAGGAGAUGUGAAUGAUGAAAAGACAACAAUCACAAUGGAAGUCAUCAACUGGAUUUAUUUUAGCUAGUGCGGGUUCUGCAAUCGGUCUUGGUGCCAUGUGGAAAUUCCCAUAUAUGGCAGGGAUUUAUGGCGGCGGUGCCUUUCUAGCUAUGUUCUUAAUAUUCACCAUUUUUGUUGGGUUACCAUUACUCAUUAUGGAAUUCACUGU